UACGGAGGGGGCUAGCGUUGUUCGGAAUCACUGGGCGUAAAGCGCACGUAGGCGGAUCGGAAAGUUGGGGGUGAAAUCCCGGGGCUCAACCUCGGAACUGCCUCCAAAACUACCAGUCUGGAGUUCGAGAGAGGUGGGUGGAAUUCCGAGUGUAGAGGUGAAAUUCGUAGAUAUUCGGAGGAACACCAGUGGCGAAGGCGGCUCACUGGCUCAAUACUGACGCUGAGGCGCGAAAGCGUGGGGAGCAAACAGG
rnacentral:misc_RNA from 1 species